rnacentral:RNase_P_RNA from 1 species
AGCACCUGCUGUCUUAUCGCGCUCCGAUUCGUUGGGGGGAGGAAAGUCCGGGCAGCGCAGAGCACCAUACUUCCUAACGGGAAGGAGGCCGGUUGGCGACGACCGGCCGACAGCCAGUGCCACAGAAAAUAUACCGCCGAUUCGUCGGUAAGGGUGAAAAGGUAGAGUAAGAGCCUACCGCCCGGCGGGUAACCGACGGGGCAGGGUAAACCUUAUGGGCUGAAAGACCAAAUAUGCGUCGGACGCGAGGCUGCUCGUCUCCGUAGUCUUCGGGCGAUGCCGACGCGGGUAGGUCGAUAGAGGGCGACGGCGACGGCGUCCCCAGAUAAAUGAUGAGAGCCUUACCAAAAGGUGAGGAACAGAACCCGGCUUAUAGGCAGGUGCUGAAU